rnacentral:rRNA from 1 species
GGCGUUAAGUUGCAGGGUAUAGACCCGAAACCCGGUGAUCUAGCCAUGGGCAGGUUGAAGGUUGGGUAACACUAACUGGAGGACCGAACCGACUAAUGUUGAAAAAUUAGCGGAUGACCUGUGGCUGGGGGUGAAAGGCCAAUCAAACCGGGAGAUAGCUGGUUCUCCCCGAAAGCUAUUUAGGUAGCGCCUCGUGAACUCAUCUCCGGGGGUAGAGCACUGUUUCGGCUAGGGGGCCAUCCCGGCUUACCAACCCGAUGCAAACUGCGAAUACCGGAGAAUGUUAUCACGGGAGACACACGGCGGGUGCUAACGUCCGUCGUGAAGAGGGAAACAACCCAGACCGCCAGCUAAGGUCCCAAAGUCAUGGUUAAGUGGGAAACGAUGUGGGAAGGCCCAGACAGCCAGGAUGUUGGCUUAGAAGCAGCCAUCAUUUAAAGAAAGCGUAAUAGCUCACUGGUCGAGUCGGCCUGCGCGGAAGAUGUAACGGGGCUAAACCAUGCACCGAAGCUGCGGCAGCGACAUUUAGGUGUUGUUGGGUAGGGGAGCGUUCUGUAAGCCUGUGAAGGUGGCCUGUGAGGGUUGCUGGAGGUAUCAGAAGUGCGAAUGCUGACAUAAGUAACGAUAAAGCGGGUGAAAAGCCCGCUCGCCGGAAGACCAAGGGUUCCUGUCCAACGUUAAUCGGGGCAGGGUGAGUCGACCCCUAAGGCGAGGCCGAAAGGCGUAGUCGAUGGGAAACGGGUUAAUAUUCCCGUACUUGGUGUUACUGCGAAGGGGGGACGGAGAAGGCUAUGUUGGCCGGGCGACGGUUGUCCCGGUUUAAGCGUGUAGGUGUGUGUUCCAGGUAAAUCCGGUUCACUUUAACACUGAGGCGUGAUGACGAGGCACUACGGUGCUGAAGCAACAAAUGCCCUGCUUCCAGGAAAAGCCUCUAAGCAUCAGGUAACAUCAAAUCGUACCCCAAACCGACACAGGUGGUCAGGUAGAGAAUACCAAGGCGCUUGAGAGAACUCGGGUGAAGGAACUAGGCAAAAUGGUGCCGUAACUUCGGGAGAAGGCACGCUGACACGUAGGUGAAGUGAUUUACUCAUGGAGCUGAAGUCAGUCGAAGAUACCAGCUGGCUGCAACUGUUUAUUAAAAACACAGCACUGUGCAAACACGAAAGUGGACGUAUACGGUGUGACGCCUGCCCGGUGCCGGAAGGUUAAUUGAUGGGGUCAGCGCAAGCGAAGCUCCUGAUCGAAGCCCCGGUAAACGGCGGCCGUAACUAUAACGGUCCUAAGGUAGCGAAAUUCCUUGUCGGGUAAGUUCCGACCUGCACGAAUGGCGUAAUGAUGGCCAGGCUGUCUCCACCCGAGACUCAGUGAAAUUGAACUCGCUGUGAAGAUGCAGUGUACCCGCGGCAAGACGGAAAGACCCCGUGAACCUUUACUAUAGCUUGACACUGAACAUUGAGCCUUGAUGUGUAGGAUAGGUGGGAGGCUUUGAAGCGUGGACGCCAGUCUGCGUGGAGCCGACCUUGAAAUACCACCCUUUAAUGUUUGAUGUUCUAACGUGGACCCGUAAUCCGGGUUGCGGACAGUGUCUGGUGGGUAGUUUGACUGGGGCGGUCUCCUCCUAAAGAGUAACGGAGGAGCACGAAGGUUGGCUAAUCCUGGUCGGACAUCAGGAGGUUAGUGCAAUGGCAUAAGCCAGCUUGACUGCGAGCGUGACGGCGCGAGCAGGUGCGAAAGCAGGUCAUAGUGAUCCGGUGGUUCUGAAUGGAAGGGCCAUCGCUCAACGGAUAAAAGGUACUCCGGGGAUAACAGGCUGAUACCGCCCAAGAGUUCAUAUCGACGGCGGUGUUUGGCACCUCGAUGUCGGCUCAUCACAUCCUGGGGCUGAAGUAGGUCCCAAGGGUAUGGCUGUUCGCCAUUUAAAGUGGUACGCGAGCUGGGUUUAGAACGUCGUGAGACAGUUCGGUCCCUAUCUGCCGUGGGCGCUGGAGAACUGAGGGGGGCUGCUCCUAGUACGAGAGGACCGGAGUGGACGCAUCACUGGUGUUCGGGUUGUCAUGCCAAUGGCACUGCCCGGUAGCUAAAUGCGGAAGAGAUAAGUGCUGAAAGCAUCUAAGCACGAAACUUGCCCCGAGAUGAGUUCUCCCUGAGACUUUAGGUCUCCUGAAGGAACGUUGAAGACGACGACGUUGAUAGGCCGGGUGUGUAAGCGCAGCGAUGCGUUGAGCUAACCGGUACUAAUGAACCGUGAGGCUUAACCUUACAAC